UACGUAGGGGGCAAGCGUUGUCCGGAUUUAUUGGGCGUAAAGAGCUCGUAGGCGGCUCACUAAGUCGGAUGUGAAAACUCCAGGCCUCAACCUGGAGACGCCAUUCGAUACUGGUGUGGCUUGAGUUCGGUAGGGGAGCACGGAAUUCCUGGUGUAGCGGUGAAAUGACGCAGAUAUACAGGGAGGAACACCGGGUGGCGAAGGCGGUUCUCUGGGCAUUACCUGACGCUGAGGAGCGAAAGUGUGGGGAGCGAACAGG
rnacentral:rRNA from 1 species